rnacentral:rRNA from 1 species
CCUACGGGAGGCAGCAGUGGGGAAUUUUCCGCAAUGGGCGAAAGCCUGACGGAGCAACGCCGCGUGAGGGAUGAAGGCCUCUGGGCUGUAAACCUCUUUUAUCAAGGAAGAAGAUCUGACGGUACUUGAUGAAUAAGCCACGGCUAAUUCCGUGCCAGCAGCCGCGGUAAUACGGGAGUGGCAAGCGUUAUCCGGAAUUAUUGGGCGUAAAGCGUCCGCAGGCGGUCUUGUAAGUCUGUCGUUAAAGCGUGGAGCUUAACUCCAUUUCGGCGGUGGAAACUACAAGACUAGAGUGUGGUAGGGGCAGAGGGAAUUCCCGGUGUAGCGGUGAAAUGCGUAGAUAUCGGGAAGAACACCAGUGGCGAAGGCGCUCUGCUGGGCCAUAACUGACGCUCAUGGACGAAAGCUAGGGGAGCGAAAGGGAUUAGAUACCCCUGUAGUCCUAGCCGUAAACGAUGAACACUAGGUGUCGGGGAAUCGACCCCCUCGGUGUCGUAGCUAACGCGUUAAGUGUUCCGCCUGGGGAGUACGCACGCAAGUGUGAAACUUAAAUGAAUUGACGG